rnacentral:tRNA from 1 species
UCCCUGGUGGCUCAGACGGUAAAGCGUCUGCCUGCAAUGCAGGAGACCUGGGUUCGAUCCCUGGGUUGGGAA